GUGUUCACUUCGGCAGCACAUAUACUAAAAUUGGAACAUUACAGAGAAGAUUAACAUGGCCCUUGCGCAAGGAGUCCUUUUGUAUAAUUUAAACUUAUUGGU
rnacentral:snRNA from 1 species